rnacentral:rRNA from 1 species
UACGUAGGGGGCAAGCGUUGUCCGGAUUUAUUGGGCGUAAAGAGCGUGUAGGCGGCCAGGUAGGUCAGCUGUGAAAACUCGAGGCUCAACCUCGAGACGCCGGUUGAAACCAUCUGGCUAGAGUCCGGAAGAGGAGAGUGGAAUUCCUGGUGUAGCGGUGAAAUGCGCAGAUAUCGGGAAGAACACCCGUGGCGAAGGCGGCUCUCUGGGACGGUACUGGACGCUGAGACGCGAAAGCGUGGGGAGCGAACAGG